rnacentral:lncRNA from 1 species
AGCAGAGGCUGCUUGGAGCCCACGGCCCUCUGAGAUGCUGCGACCCCAACGAGGGGCUGUGUGUGUGUGUGGGGCCGGGGCUGGGCUGGUGCUCCGAGGGCACCUCGCAGCCAUUGCCACAGCUGCACCCGCAUUCCCUCCCUCCACGUCUGCACCCACAUUCCUCCCCUCCACGCCUGCCCUUAUCUCACAGCUGUCACAGCGGUGGGUUCAGCCCCGCACCCCCCGCGCUGUGCAGUAUGAGGCUGUUGGAGCCCUUCUCCCCCACAGAACAGCCGUGUGCCCCCCCGGUUGUGGGGCCGGACGCGUCGUGCCGUGGGGCUGAGCCUCUCCCGGCGCUUUCUCUUCCCCGCCGUCCCCCCCGUUUUGCUCAGCUCCGCUCCGCACCGUUUCCCUCCGCUGCCGACGUGGGCGCUCUGCCCUCCCUCCCGCAUCUGGGCGAGGAGGAGCGCCGUGCGGGAGCGGCUCAACCCCUCCGGCCCCGCGGAGCCCUCCGCGUCUCAUUCUCCUCCGGAUCGCAGCGCUGUGGCCGCGGAGCGCGUUGUGCUGCUGCGUUACGGCGCUGCUGAGCGCCUCCCGGGCCGGGCGGACCCUUCCCGGCACAGCCCCGUCUGCCGCC